rnacentral:rRNA from 1 species
UACGUAGGGGGCAAGCGUUGUCCGGAUUUAUUGGGCGUAAAGAGCUCGUAGGCGGCUUGGCAAGUCGGGUGUGAAAACUCCAGGCUCAACCUGGAGAUGCCACUCGAGACUGCUAUGGCUAGAGUCCGGUAGGGGACCACGGAAUUCCUGGUGUAGCGGUGAAAUGCGCAGAUAUCAGGAGGAACACCGGUGGCGAAGGCGGUGGUCUGGGCCGGCACUGACGCUGGGGCACGAAAGCGUGGGGAGCAAACAGG